AGAUUAUGUCGGGAGGGCAUCUCCUGAUCAACUACUUGUACCUCUCUCAGGCCUCAUAGAGGGACUCUCCCUCUUUCUGUCUGAAAGUCUGGACUUCAACUCUAAGCUU